CUCUAGCCCCGAUAGAAGCGGUAUCCUUUUUCUUCCGCUAGUGCGGAAGAAAAAGAUAUAGCGGAUAGCGGGACUGAUG
rnacentral:sRNA from 1 species